rnacentral:rRNA from 1 species
GAUGAACGCUGGCGGCGUGCCUAAUACAUGCAAGUCGAGCGAACAAACGAGGAGCUUGCUCCUCUGACGUUAGCGGCGGACGGGUGAGUAACACGUGGAUAACCUACCUAUAAGACUGGGAUAACUUCGGGAAACCGGAGCUAAUACCGGAUAAUAUAUUGAACCGCAUGGUUCAAUAGUGAAAGACGGUUUUGCUGUCACUUAUAGAUGGAUCCGCGCCGCAUUAGCUAGUUGGUAAGGUAACGGCUUACCAAGGCAACGAUGCGUAGCCGACCUGAGAGGGUGAUCGGCCACACUGGAACUGAGACACGGUCCAGACUCCUACGGGAGGCAGCAGUAGGGAAUCUUCCGCAAGGGGCGAAAGCCUGACGGAGCAACGCCGCGUGAGUGAUGAAGGUCUUCGGAUCGUAAAACUCUGUUAUUAGGGAAGAACAAAUGUGUAAGUAACUAUGCACGUCUUGACGGUACCUAAUCAGAAAGCCACGGCUAACUACGUG